UACAAUUUCAUCGCAGAUGGCUUUGAUAGCGAUAAUCCAGUGGCAACUGCUUAUUUUUUAAUGAUAGAUAAAGUUCUCAUGAUGCUAGUUAUUCAGAUCAAAUAUUGCUAUCAAGAUUGUUGAUUUGCUAAAGUGUAAGGACUAUAAAGUUGUAUGUGAUGAACACAAUGAGCUCUCAGAAAAGCAAGCUAUGAAAGAUAGAGCUCAUCUCUACCUCCAAAAUACCAAGGAUGUUAAGCCAAAGGACAAUAUUAAGUGGACUGGGGAUCUUCAUGCCAAAUUCAUAAAAAGUUUACAAGAACUUGAUAAAUAAAAAUGUUACCCAAAGGAUAUUCUGGAAAUGAUGAAUGUUCCUGGUCUUACAAGGGUGCAUAAGUCAUCUCUAGAAAUUUCGUAGCAAUGUCAAUUGGAAAGCUCUGGAAAAGCGUGUUGAUCAACCGAGAAAUCCCUAAGUGAAUCUCAAUAAAGUAGUAUUAGAAAAUUUGGGACAAUUUUCUAUUUCUUCUACUUGACUAUAUUCAAA